GUUUGAUCCUGGCUCAGGACGAACGCUGGCGGCGUGCCUAAUACAUGCAAGUCGAGCGGACAGAAGGGAGCUUGCUCCCGGAUGUUAGCGGCGGACGGGUGAGUAACACGUGGGUAACCUGCCUGUAAGACUGGGAUAACUCCGGGAAACCGGAGCUAAUACCGGAUAGUUCCUUGAACCGCAUGGUUCAAGGAUGAAAGACGGUUUCGGCUGUCACUUACAGAUGGACCCGCGGCGCAUUAGCUAGUUGGUGAGGUAACGGCUCACCAAGGCGACGAUGCGUAGCCGACCUGAGAGGGUGAUCGGCCACACUGGGACUGAGACACGGCCCAGACUCCUACGGGAGGCAGCAGUAGGGAAUCUUCCGCAAUGGACGAAAGUCUGACGGAGCAACGCCGCGUGAGUGAUGAAGGUUUUCGGAUCGUAAAGCUCUGUUGUUAGGGAAGAACAAGUGCAAGAGUAACUGCUUGCACCUUGACGGUACCUAACCAGAAAGCCACGGCUAACUACGUGCCAGCAGCCGCGGUAAUACGUAGGUGGCAAGCGUUGUCCGGAAUUAUUGGGCGUAAAGGGCUCGCAGGCGGUUUCUUAAGUCUGAUGUGAAAGCCCCCGGCUCAACCGGGGAGGGUCAUUGGAAACUGGGAAACUUGAGUGCAGAAGAGGAGAGUGGAAUUCCACGUGUAGCGGUGAAAUGCGUAGAGAUGUGGAGGAACACCAGUGGCGAAGGCGACUCUCUGGUCUGUAACUGACGCUGAGGAGCGAAAGCGUGGGGAGCGAACAGGAUUAGAUCCCUAAGUAGUCCA
rnacentral:rRNA from 1 species